rnacentral:rRNA from 1 species
GACGUAGGAGGCGAGCGUUGUCCGGAUUCAUUGGGCGUAAAGAGCUCGUAGGCGGUUUGUCGCGUCUGCUGUGAAAACCUAAGGCUCAACCUUGGGCUUGCAGUGGGUACGGGCAGACUAGAGUGCGGUAGGGGUGACUGGAAUUCCUGGUGUAGCGGUGGAAUGCGCAGAUAUCAGGAGGAACACCGAUGGCGAAGGCAGGUCACUGGGCCGCAACUGACGCUGAGGAGCGAAAGCAUGGGGAGCGAACAGG